rnacentral:rRNA from 1 species
UACGAAGGGGGCUAGCGUUGCUCGGAAUCACUGGGCGUAAAGGGUGCGUAGGCGGGUCUUUAAGUCAGGGGUGAAAUCCUGGAGCUCAACUCCAGAACUGCCUUUGAUACUGAAGAUCUUGAGUUCGGGAGAGGUAAGUGGAACUGCGAGUGUAGAGGUGAAAUUCGUAGAUAUUCGCAAGAACACCAGUGGCGAAGGCGGCUCACUGGCCCGAUACUGACGCUGAGGCACGAAAGCGUGGGGAGCAAACAGG